rnacentral:rRNA from 1 species
GACGAACGCUGGCGGCGUGCUUAACACAUGCAAGUCGAACGGAAAGGCCCUGCUUUUGUGGGGUGCUCGAGUGGCGAACGGGUGAGUAACACGUGAGUAACCUGCCCUUGACUUUGGGAUAACUUCAGGAAACUGGGGCUAAUACCGGAUAGGAGCUCCUGCUGCAUGGUGGGGGUUGGAAAGUUUCGGCGGUUGGGGAUGGACUCGCGGCUUAUCAGCUUGUUGGUGGGGUAGUGGCUUACCAAGGCUUUGACGGGUAGCCGGCCUGAGAGGGUGACCGGCCACAUUGGGACUGAGAUACGGCCCAGACUCCUACGGGAGGCAGCAGUGGGGAAUAUUGCACUAUGGGCGGAAGCCUGAUGCAGCAACGCCGCGUGCGGGAUGACGGCCUUCGGGUUGUAAACCGCUUUCGCCUGUGACGAAGCGUUAGUGACGGUAAUGGGUAAAGAAGCACCGGCUAACUACGUG